UUUCCGUAGGUGAACCUGCGGAAGGAUCAUUAUUGUAUAGCCGAGGUGCGAGGGCUGUCGCUGACCCGAAAGGUCGUGCACGCCCGAGUGCCCUCACACACAUCCAUCUCACCCCUAUGUGCACCACCGCGUGGGUCCCCCUUUGGCUUGUUCGGAGGGGGGCUUACGUUUUCACACAAACUUUGUAUGCAGUGUAGAAUGUAUUUUUUGUUUUUGCGAUCACGCAAUCAAUACAACUUUCAACAAUGGAUCUCUUGGCUCUC
rnacentral:misc_RNA from 1 species